UCUGCUUAUACUGAUUCAGCAGAACAGAGUGAUGAGGAGAGCUCUCUCUAAGAGGAGACACAGGACGACGACUGAGGCCGUUUAUGAGGAGAUUCAGCACAGACCCACUAACAGACACAGUCUCUUCACUCAGAGGGGAAGUAUCUUUUCUGAAGAACAGCAUUCUGGG